AGGUGCUCUGACAUUAGCUAGUGUUUUGCUUUAUCUGAAGAAGUUAGGUGGAGGAGUAGUGUUCAGUGGGUGGGUGCCUUUCAGUUCAUCAGUCACUGAGAGGAUUUCACCUGAAGCGAGGAAGACCCCGUUUCUUUGGUCACAUGGAAUGGCUGACAAAGUAGUAUUGUUUGAAGCUGGCUAGGCUGGUCCACCGUUUUUGCAAAGCGCGGGUGUUAACUGUGAAUUCAAGGCAUAUCCAGAUCUGGGCCAUUCGCUUUCGCAGGAAGAGCUACUUUAUCUUGAGUCGUGGAUCAAGAGUCGUCUAAAUGCCUCUCAAGAGAAGGACGGUUAACUGAUUCCAUCAUGCUUAAGUGGCAUUUAUUUAGUAUUUUUAUUAUACGAUACACAAAUCAACUACUGGUCCUGGAAUUUGUUAUUGGAAUUUCCGAUGGGUUAUCGUUGUCGGGUGAAUAAGGGCACAUAGAACCGGGAUCUUUUGCUGGCCAUGGAUGUUCUCAAUGCACUUGUAACGGCCCUGGUAUCUGACACUCUCCUACAAUACAAGGGCUGCAGCUCUAGCUUGAAUGCCUGG